AGAGGUUAAAUCACUCAGAUGAACGCUGGCGUGUGUGCCUAAUACAUGCAAGUCGAGCGAACAGACGAGGAGCUUGCUCCUCUGACGUAGCGGCGGACGGGUGAGUAACACGUGGAUAACCUACCUAUAAGACUGGGAUAACUUCGGGAAACCGGAGCUAAUACCGGAUAACAUGUUGAACCGCAUGGUUCAACAGUGAAAGACGGUCUUGCUGUCACUUAUAGAUGGAUCCGCGCCGCAUUAGCUAGUUGGUAAGGUAACGGCUUACCAAGGCAACGAUGCGUAGCCGACCUGAGAGGGUGAUCGGCCACACUGGAACUGAGACACGGUCCAGACUCCUACGGGAGGCAGCAGUAGGGAAUCUUCCGCAAUGGGCGAAAGCCUGACGGAGCAACGCCGCGUGAGUGAAGAAGGUCUUCGGAUCGUAAAACUCUGUUAUUAGGGAAGAACAAAUGUGUAAGUAACUAUGCACGUCUUGACGGUACCUAAUCAGAAAGCCACGGCUAACUACGUGCCAGCAGCCGCGGUAAUACGUAGGUGGCAAGCGUUAUCCGGAAUUAUUGGGCGUAAAGCGCGCGUAGGCGGUUUUUUAAGUCUGAUGUGAAAGCCCACGGCUCAACCGUGGAGGGUCAUUGGAAACUGGAAAACUUGAGUGCAGAAGAGGAAAGUGGAAUUCCAUGUGUAGCGGUGAAAUGCGCAGAGAUAUGGAGGAACACCAGUGGCGAAGGCGACUUUCUGGUCUGUAACUGACGCUGAUGUGCGAAAGCGUGGGGAUCAAACAGGAUUAGAUACCCUGGUAGUCCACGCCGUAAACGAUGAGUGCUAAGUGUUAGGGGGUUUCCGCCCCUUAGUGCUGCAGCUAACGCAUUAAGCACUCCGCCUGAGACGUCCAGUUGG
rnacentral:rRNA from 2 species